rnacentral:misc_RNA from 1 species
UUUCGAUUCAUCUUCUAAUCAGACCCUAAACAUCGAUUUCAAUCCAAAACCAGCCCAUGGCCAUGGCUAUUACCAAUACUCCAAGCACACUGAUAAUACACUUAAGAUUGAUUGGACUAGUUUAGGCCCACGGUUUUAUGCGGCGAAGAGUAAAACGGUCGCCAACGAGCCAGCUAGCCGCUACCCUAAGAUGACCUGGCGUGUCUCGUGACGUCGCAAAGAGAAAAGCAGGAGCUGUGGUUUUAUAUAUACUAGCAUUUCUUUCUUCCCCUGCCGCACCACAGAAUCCUUCGACAAAUCCAUGGCUCUGCGAUCUCUAGUGACCCGAAAGAACCUACCCUCAGCCUUCAAGGCCGCCACAGGGCUAGGGCAACUGCGGGGAUUGCAGACCUUCUCUCUCCCCGAUCUCCCUUACGACUAUGGUGCCCUGGAGCCCGCGAUUAGCGGCGAGAUAAUGCAGCUGCAUCACCAGAAACAUCACCAGACUUAUAUUACUAACUACAACAAGGCUCUCGAGCAACUCAACGACGCUAUAGAGAAGGGCGAUUCUGCUGCCGUCGUCAAGUUGCAGAGCGCCAUCAAG